rnacentral:rRNA from 1 species
AUGGCUCCACUAACCUCGAAGCUCUGCUGGAGAUCGUCUUGCCAUCGCCAGCCGGAGGACGCCUCCUGCGCCGGUACCGUCCCGAGAUUCGCCCCAGGCACCGCCGCCGGCGCCUCGCGGUCGCUGUCCAUGAACCGCACGGUACGGUGCUCCUGCCCGCGCGUCAACUGGUCUUGCUCAGGCAGUACCACGAAUACCACGACGCUGAUGAGCACACGUACCGUGCGCUUGCCGGCGAAGAUGAUGUUGAGGAAUCCCGCGAGCCGCCCGCCGGGGAGGCCAGCUUACGGAAGUCCCUGA